rnacentral:misc_RNA from 1 species
AAGUCGUAACAAGGUUUCCGUAGGUGAACCUGCGGAAGGAUCAUUACAGAGUUCAUGCCCCUCGGGGUAGACCUCCACCCUUGCAUACCUUACCUUUGUUGCUUUGGCGGUCCGCUUCACCUCGUGUGAGGCCACCGGUCCCGACUGGUGCGUGACCGCCAAAGGUUACCCAACUCUUGAAUAUACGUCGUCUGAGUCUAUACAAAUGUAAAA